GAUGAACGCUGGCGGCGUGCCUAAUACAUGCCAGUCGAGCGAACAGACCAGGAGCUUGCUCCUCUGACGUUAGCGGCGGACGGGUGCUUAACUCGUGUUUAACCUACCUAUCAGACUGGGAUAACUUCGCGAAACCGGAUCUUAUGCCGGAUAACAUGUUGCACCUCAUUGUUCAACAGUGAAAGACGGUCUUUCUGUCACUUAUAGAUGGAUCCGCGCCGCAUUAGCUAGUUGGUAAGGUAACGGCUUACCAAGGCUACGAUGCGUAGCCGACCUGAGAGGGUGAACGGACAGACGGGAACUGAGAAACGGUACAGAAUCCUACGGGAGGCAGCAGUAGGGAAUCUUCCGCAAUGGGCGAAAGCCUGACGGAGCAACGCGGCGUGAGUGAUGAAGGACUUCGGAUCGUAAAACUCUGAUAUUAGGGAAGAACAAAUGUGUAAGUAACUAUGCACGUAUUGACGGUACCGGAUCAGAAAGCCACGGCUAACUACGUG
rnacentral:rRNA from 1 species